AUCUUCAACAAAAGCAAUUGUCACCACCUGCGCCUCCAUCAGUUCAUUCAACUGCAAAUGCAAAUGGAAAUGCCAGUGGUAAAUGAAGAGAUCAAGGUAUUAUUAUGUUUAUAUCUGUCUUGUUCACCUUUUUUUUUUACAAUUAUGUACUCAAUUUCUGUAUGAUUUUCAAUUAAGGAGUUACAAUUAUUAACUCAUGGUUUUUCUGCUAUGCUUAAGCUUUACUUAUCUAUACAUGCAUGUUGUAAGUUUUUCUUGCCUUUGGACCUAAACCUAAACCUUUAGCCGAACAAUUCCUGCAUUACAUUUUACGGUAAAAACAAAAUGCUAAUCCUAUACUAUUUUUCCUACCAUACUAACCAGAUGACACACCAUUUCAUAUGUGUGUGUCUCUCUCUGUGUGUGUGUAUAUAUAUAUAUAUAUAUAUAUAUAUAUACAUAGAUAGAUAUAUACUUUUUCCCCUUAUUUAGAAAGAACAAUUAAACUAGAACUGUCUUAUUCAAAAUUCAUGCUGUUUUAGUUGCCAAUCAAUUAAUGCCAAAAAACAGGCAAAAUCGUGCUUCGCUUUAGACCUAAAGCUAACUCUUAAGUAUAUCUGUCGAACUGGGAAUGUGGUAGACACUGAUAUGGUAAUUGCAUGCAGUCGAUGUGGUUUGUAUUCCUUUGUUUUUCAUUUCAAAAUCUACGAUUAACAUGGUCACAUGACUGUAGCUGCAGGCAAUAGUAACACAGACUUCAUUCCUACAAAAAUGAAUCUGCUUAAUUCUCCUGAUGUCCGGACAUUGCAUCCCAUGCCUUUUGCUGGUGGUUCUGCUCAACUGAAUACCAAUGUUGAAUUCCCUUAAAUUGAAUAUUCCUAAAUACUAAAUCCCUUCAUAGGAGAUUCCCUGCAACUGGAACAUAAAAAUACCACUCAUACACAACAGCCUGCAGGGUCUGCAGCAGCCUCUGCAUUAUCACCAGCUUACAGGGAUUGCUUCAACU
rnacentral:lncRNA from 1 species